rnacentral:rRNA from 1 species
GAUGAACGCUGGCGGCGUGCCUAAUACAUGCAAGUCGAGCGAACAGACGAGGAUCUUGCUCCUCUGACGUUAGCGGCGGACGGGUGAGGAACACGUGGAUAACCUGCCUAUAAGACUGGGAUAAGUUCGGGAAACCGGAGCUAAUACCGGAUAAGAUAUUGAACCGCAGGGUUCAAUAGUGAAAGACGGUUUUGCUGUCACUUAUAGAUGGAUCCGCGCCGCAUUAGCUAGUUGGUAAGGUAACGGCAUACCAAAGCAACGAUGCGUAGCCGACCUGAGAGGGUGAUCGGCCACACUGGAACUGAGACACGGUCCAGACUCCUACGGGAGGCAGCAGUAGGGAAUCUUCCGCAAUGGGCGAAAGCCUGACGGAGCAACGCCGCGUGAGUGAUGAAGGUCUUCGGAUCGUAAAACUCUGUUAUUAGGGAAGAACAAAUGUGUAAGUAACUAUGCACGUCUUGACGGUACCUAAUCAGAAAGCCACGGCUAACUACGUG